AACGAACGCUGGCGGCAUGCCUAACACAUGCAAGUCGAACGAGACCUUCGGGUCUAGUGGCGCACGGGUGCGUAACGCGUGGGAACCUGCCCUUAGGUUUGGAAUAACUCCCCGAAAGGGGUGCUAAUACCGGAUAAUGUCUUCGGACCAAAGAUUUAUCGCCUUUGGAUGGGCCCGCGUUGGAUUAGCUAGUUGGUAGGGUAAAAGCCUACCAAGGCGACGAUCCAUAGCUGGUCUGAGAGGAUGAUCAGCCACACUGGGACUGAGACACGGCCCAGACUCCUACGGGAGGCAGCAGUGGGGAAUAUUGGACAAUAGGCGAAAGCCUGAUCCAGCAAUGCCGCGUGAGUGAUGAAGGCCUUAGGGUUGUAAAGCUCUUUUACCCGGGAUGAUAAUGACAGUACCGGGAGAAUAAGCUCCGGCUAACUCCGUG
rnacentral:rRNA from 1 species